AAAUAAACAGGUAUACAUAUGUAUAGAUAUAUGCAUGUAGAUUACCAGAUAUACCCAUUGUUUAUUUGGAGCGCUGAGCCAUCUGAUCUGAAUCAGACGGCUGACGUACUCUGGUACUGCACCGUUAUUUUCCUACUGGGUGGACUCGCCCUCCUCGAAGCUCUCAUCCUCUCGUUCCCAUUUCAAUCGAACCCCGCCCAUUUGUUCGUUAAUAUUCCCCUUCGACAAUGGUCCCUUGUUGCUUCCGCUCGGGUUGCGGCAAAGGGCGACUCUGGGUUUAGGAUGCAGCGCUCGGGCACUCCAUGACGUCUCUCAGGCAAGUGGGAACUACAUGCUCUUUUUCUCCAAGAACAAGGACAGAAAGAUGCCCAGCCAAAAUUGAGAGAGAUUUGAACUUGGGUUACUUACACCCAACCUCCAGCUACUUCACCAGCAGACCAUAAACUCGGCUCAGCAACCUGUAUUUGUAGAUACAAUUUUCUACUAGAUGUUCAUAUAUAGCAUUGUAAUUGAUACUUCUAUUGUGACAAAUAUGUUAAGACAUGCCGUUAACAUGCAAUGAUAUGAUCUAGUUUCCAUGCCAUAAUAUCAGGGCAAAAUAAACUUCCAGGAAUUUCAAGAUACAAUGCCACCACACCCAAAAUGUUACCCUAAGUUUGUCACAAUAACCCACCGAAUCAUGUCAGUAUAACUUAUUUUAGGUCAUUGUAUGAGCCACAGCACUUGGUCCAAAUCUGACUUAAAAUACACCAAUUACAUGAUCACAGGUAGUUGAAUCAGAAGUUGCCUACCUAUCUUUCAGAAAACCAAUCAGAUGCAACAAUAAGACUGCAUUGAGAGCCAAAAUUCGCAAACAAGCUUUUAUACAGCGAUGGGCAUUCUCACAAAUAAUGCAAAAGAAUGCAGGUCCCUGUUAGUUAAAACUUGGAACAUAGUCAUUAGAAACAUUUUAUUCAACUGCAUAUUACUAAAAUAAAACAGUAUGUGACUGUUGAUAUUAGUAGUCCUCAUAUUUUUCGGCAUUAUAUCAGAAACAAACACCACAAGAAUAAUCAAAAACCCCUGUUUGUUACAAAGCAUGAGGACAAAGUAGCAUGGCCUCCAUAUGAGUCGUGGAUCUUUAAUCCUGUAAUCAAAGCAGAUGAGAUGGUUCUGCUAUUCCUCUUGUUAUGUACUCCAAACCAUUGCUUAGAUCUCUGCAGAAAUUUCUGACGAAGGAUUCUGUGCAUCCAAACAUAACUCUUGUUCUCCUCUCUGCGACCAAGGCAUACCACAUGUAAACUAUUAAAAUCCACCCGGCAGAGG